rnacentral:rRNA from 1 species
AGCGAACCUGCGAAGGCAAGCGGAUCUCUUAAAGCCGUUCUCAGUUCGGACUGUAGGCUGCAACUCGCCUACACGAAGCUGGAAUCGCUAGUAAUCGCGGAUCAGCACGCCGCGGUGAAUACGUUCCCGGGCCUUGUACACACCGCCCGUCACACCAUGAGAGUUUGUAACACCCAAAGCCGGUGGGGUAACCUUUUGGAGCCAGCCGUCUAAGGUGGGACAGAUGAUUGGGGUGAAGUCGUAACAAGGUAGC